ACGGAGGGUGCAAGCGUUGUUCGGAAUCACUGGGCGUAAAGCGCAUGUAGGCGGGUCGGUAUGUCGGGUGUGAAAUACUGGGGCUCAACCCCGGGACUGCGCCCGAAACUGCCGGUCUUGAGUUCGGGAGAGGAACGUGGAAUUCCGGGUGUAGAGGUGAAAUUCGUAGAUAUCCGGAGGAACCCCAGAGGCGAAGGCGACGUUCUGUACCGAUACUGACGCUGAGAUGCGAAAGCGUGGGGAGCAAACAG
rnacentral:rRNA from 1 species